rnacentral:misc_RNA from 1 species
AAAAAACGUUGGAGCUGGGGGGCGGCGCGGCGGGGCGGAGAGGAGGGGGAGAGAAGCAGAACUAGAUAAUUAAAACUUCAUGUCUGUGGAGUUAGUGUUUGCAGCAUUUUUGUGUUGAACAAUUCUUGAGAAGACAGGAGAUUCAUGUGUGAGCUGGAUAAUAAAUGAACUACCGUUGGAGUGCUGUUUAGACAAGAAGUCCAUACUGAUAUGCGCAAUUAUUAUUAGAUGGCUGGAUGGUUCUAUGCACUGACUACGACUCGAAUGGAAAUAAUAGAAGAUGCUUUUGUCAUCUUCUUUUUUACCUAUGCCUCUGGCAUGGUCGGAAGGAUAUAUGUGCAACUUUUUUAUUAAGUUUGCUAAUAAAUUGUAUGCUACCAUUGCAGGUGUUGGAAGCAUUAGAUGAUU